UGCCAGCCGCCGCGGUAAUACGGAGGGUGCAAGCGUUAAUCGGAAUUACUGGGCGUAAAGCGCGCGUAGGCGGUUAUUUAAGUCGGAUGUGAAAGCCCCGGGCUCAACCUGGGAACUGCAUUCGAUACUGGAUAACUAGAGUACGAGAGAGGGAGGUAGAAUUCCACGUGUAGCGGUGAAAUGCGUAGACAUGUGGAGGAAUACCAGUGGCGAAGGCGGCUUUCUGGACCGAUACUGACGCUGAGACACGAAAGCGUGGGGAGCAAACAGGAUUAGAUA
rnacentral:rRNA from 1 species